rnacentral:rRNA from 1 species
AGCCCAGAGCCUGAAUCAGUGUGUGUGUUAGUGGAAGCGUCUGGAAAGGCGUGCGAUACAGGGUGACAGCCCCGUACACAAAAAUGCACAUGCUGUGAGCUCGAUGAGUAGGGCGGGACACGUGGUAUCCUGUCUGAAUAUGGGGGGACCAUCCUCCAAGGCUAAAUACUCCUGACUGACCGAUAGUGAACCAGUACCGUGAGGGAAAGGCGAAAAGAACCCCGGCGAGGGGAGUGAAAAAGAACCUGAAACCGUGUACGUACAAGCAGUGGGAGCACAGAGCAAUCUGUGUGACUGCGUACCUUUUGUAUAAUGGGUCAGCGACUUAUAUUCUGUAGCAAGGUUAACCGAAUAGGGGAGCCGAAGGGAAACCGAGUCUUAACUGGGCGUUAAGUUGCAGGGUAUAGACCCGAAACCCGGUGAUCUAGCCAUGGGCAGGUUGAAGGUUGGGUAACACUAACUGGAGGACCGAACCGACUAAUGUUGAAAAAUUAGCGGAUGACUUGUGGCUGGGGGUGAAAGGCCAAUCAAACCGGGAGAUAGCUGGUUCUCCCCGAAAGCUAUUUAGGUAGCGCCUCGUGAAUUCAUCUCCGGGGGUAGAGCACUGUUUCGGCAAGGGGGUCAUCCCGACUUACCAACCCGAUGCAAACUGCGAAUACCGGAGAAUGUUAUCACGGGAGACACACGGCGGGUGCUAACGUCCGUCGUGAAGAGGGAAACAACCCAGACCGCCAGCUAAGGUCCCAAAGUCAUGGUUAAGUGGGAAACGAUGUGGGAAGGCCCAGACAGCCAGGAUGUUGGCUUAGAAGCAGCCAUCAUUUAAAGAAAGCGUAAUAGCUCACUGGUCGAGUCGGCCUGCGCGGAAGAUGUAACGGGGCUAAACCAUGCACCGAAGCUGCGGCAGCGACGCUUAUGCGUUGUUGGGUAGGGGAGCGUUCUGUAAGCCUGCGAAGGUGUGCUGUGAGGCAUGCUGGAGGUAUCAGAAGUGCGAAUGCUGACAUAAGUAACGAUAAAGCGGGUGAAAAGCCCGCUCGCCGGAAGACCAAGGGUUCCUGUCCAACGUUAAUCGGGGCAGGGUGAGUCGACCCCUAAGGCGAGGCCGAAAGGCGUAGUCGAUGGGAAACAGGUUAAUAUUCCUGUACUUGGUGUUACUGCGAAGGGGGGACGGAGAAGGCUAUGUUGGCCGGGCGACGGUUGUCCCGGUUUAAGCGUGUAGGCUGGUUUUCCAGGCAAAUCCGGAAAAUCAAGGCUGAGGCGUGAUGACGAGGCACUACGGUGCUGAAGCAACAAAUGCCCUGCUUCCAGGAAAAGCCUCUAAGCAUCAGGUAACAUCAAAUCGUACCCCAAACCGACACAGGUGGUCAGGUAGAGAAUACCAAGGCGCUUGAGAGAACUCGGGUGAAGGAACUAGGCAAAAUGGUGCCGUAACUUCGGGAGAAGGCACGCUGAUAUGUAGGUGAAGUCCCUCGCGGAUGGAGCUGAAAUCAGUCGAAGAUACCAGCUGGCUGCAACUGUUUAUUAAAAACACAGCACUGUGCAAACACGAAAGUGGACGUAUACGGUGUGACGCCUGCCCGGUGCCGGAAGGUUAAUUGAUGGGGUUAGCGCAAGCGAAGCUCUUGAUCGAAGCCCCGGUAAACGGCGGCCGUAACUAUAACGGUCCUAAGGUAGCGAAAUUCCUUGUCGGGUAAGUUCCGACCUGCACGAAUGGCGUAAUGAUGGCCAGGCUGUCUCCACCCGAGACUCAGUGAAAUUGAACUCGCUGUGAAGAUGCAGUGUACCCGCGGCAAGACGGAAAGACCCCGUGAACCUUUACUAUAGCUUGACACUGAACAUUGAGCCUUGAUGUGUAGGAUAGGUGGGAGGCUUUGAAGUGUGGACGCCAGUCUGCAUGGAGCCGACCUUGAAAUACCACCCUUUAAUGUUUGAUGUUCUAACGUUGACCCGUAAUCCGGGUUGCGGACAGUGUCUGGUGGGUAGUUUGACUGGGGCGGUCUCCUCCUAAAGAGUAACGGAGGAGCACGAAGGUUGGCUAAUCCUGGUCGGACAUCAGGAGGUUAGUGCAAUGGCAUAAGCCAGCUUGACUGCGAGCGUGACGGCGCGAGCAGGUGCGAAAGCAGGUCAUAGUGAUCCGGUGGUUCUGAAUGGAAGGGCCAUCGCUCAACGGAUAAAAGGUACUCCGGGGAUAACAGGCUGAUACCGCCCAAGAGUUCAUAUCGACGGCGGUGUUUGGCACCUCGAUGUCGGCUCAUCACAUCCUGGGGCUGAAGUAGGUCCCAAGGGUAUGGCUGUUCGCCAUUUAAAGUGGUACGCGAGCUGGGUUUAGAACGUCGUGAGACAGUUCGGUCCCUAUCUGCCGUGGGCGCUGGAGAACUGAGGGGGGCUGCUCCUAGUACGAGAGGACCGGAGUGGACGCAUCACUGGUGUUCGGGUUGUCAUGCCAAUGGCACUGCCCGGUAGCUAAAUGCGGAAGAGAUAAGUGCUGAAAGCAUCUAAGCACGAAACUUGCCCCGAGAUGAGUUCUCCCUGACUCCUUGAGAGUCCUGAAGGAACGUUGAAGACGACGACGUUGAUAGGCCGGGUGUGUAAGCGCAGCGAUGCGUUGAGCUAACCGGUACUAAUGAACCGUGAGGCUUAACCUUACAACGCCGAAGGUGUUU